rnacentral:rRNA from 1 species
AUUGAACGCUGGCGGCAUGCCUUACACAUGCAAGUCGAACGGUAACAGGUCUUUCGGGAUGCUGACGAGUGGCGAACGGGUGAGUAAUACAUCGGAACGUGCCUAGUAGUGGGGGAUAACUACUCGAAAGAGUGGCUAAUACCGCAUGAGAUCUAUGGAUGAAAGCAGGGGACCUUCGGGCCUUGUGCUACUAGAGCGGCCGAUGGCAGAUUAGGUAGUUGGUGGGAUAAAAGCUUACCAAGCCUACGAUCUGUAGCUGGUCUGAGAGGACGAUCAGCCACACUGGGACUGAGACACGGCCCAGACUCCUACGGGAGGCAGCAGUGGGGAAUUUUGGACAAUGGGCGCAAGCCUGAUCCAGCAAUGCCGCGUGCAGGAUGAAGGCCUUCGGGUUGUAAACUGCUUUUGUACGGAACGAAAAGUCUUGGGUUAAUACCCUGGGAUCAUGACGGUACCGUAAGAAUAAGCACCGGCUAACUACGUG